rnacentral:rRNA from 1 species
UACGUAGGGUGCAAGCGUUGUCCGGAAUUAUUGGGCGUAAAGAGCUCGUAGGCGGUCUGUCGCGUCGGCUGUGAAAACUCGGGGCUCAACUCCGAGCUUGCAGUCGAUACGGGCAGGCUAGAGUUCGGCAGGGGAGACUGGAAUUCCUGGUGUAGCGGUGAAAUGCGCAGAUAUCAGGAGGAACACCGGUGGCGAAGGCGGGUCUCUGGGCCGAUACUGACGCUGAGGAGCGAAAGCGUGGGGAGCAAACGGG